rnacentral:rRNA from 1 species
UACGUAGGGUGCAAGCGUUAAUCGGAAUUACAGGGCGUAAAGCGUGCGCAGGCGGUUUUGUAAGCCAGAUGUGAAAUCCCCGGGCUUAACCUGGGAAUGGCAUUUGGGACUGCAAGGCUGGAGUGUGGCAGAGGAGACUGGAAUUCCUGGUGUAGCAGUGAAAUGCGUAGAUAUCAGGAGGAAUACCGAUGGCGAAGGCAGGUCUCUGGGCUGACACUGACGCUCAUGCACGAAAGCGUGGGGAGCAAACAGG